rnacentral:rRNA from 1 species
GAUGAACGCUGGCGGCGUGCCUAAUACAUGCAAGUCGGGCGAAUGGAUUAAGAGCUUGCUCUUAUGAAGUUAGCGGCGGACGGGUGAGUAACACGUGGGUAACCUGCCCAUAAGACUGGGAUAACUCCGGGAAACCGGGGCUAAUACCGGAUAACAUUUUGAACCGCAUGGUUCGAAAUUGAAAGGCGGCUUCGGCUGUCACUUAUGGAUGGACACGCGUCGCAUUAGCUAGUUGGUGAGGUAACGGCUCACCAAGGCAACGAUGCGUAGCCGACCUGAGAGGGUGAUCGGCCACACUGGGACUGAGACACGGCCCAGACUCCUACAGGAGGCAGCAGUAGGGAAUCUUCCGCAAUGGACGAAAGUCUGACGGAGCAACGCCGCGUGAGUGAUGAAGGCUUUCGGGUCGUAAAACUCUGUUGUUAGGGAAGAACAAGUGCUAGUUGAAUAAGCUGGCACCUUGACGGUACCUAACCAGAAAGCCACGGCUAACUACGUGCCAGCCGCCGCGGUAA